rnacentral:rRNA from 2 species
CGAUGAAGGACGUGCUAAUCUGCGAUAAGCGUCGGUGAGGUGAUAUGAACCGUUAUAACCGGCGAUUUCCGAAUGGGGAAACCCAGUGUGUUUCGACACACUAUCAUUAACUGAAUCCAUAGGUUAAUGAGGCGAACCGGGGGAACUGAAACAUCUAAGUACCCCGAGGAAAAGAAAUCAACCGAGAUUCCCCCAGUAGCGGCGAGCGAACGGGGAGGAGCCCAGAGCCUGAAUCAGUGUGUGUGUUAGUGGAAGCGUCUGGAAAGGCGCGCGAUACAGGGUGACAGCCCCGUACACAAAAAUGCACAUAUUGUGAGCUCGAUGAGUAGGGCGGGACACGUGGUAUCCUGUCUGAAUAUGGGGGGACCAUCCUCCAAGGCUAAAUACUCCUGACUGACCGAUAGUGAACCAGUACCGUGAGGGAAAGGCGAAAAGAACCCCGGCGAGGGGAGUGAAAAAGAACCUGAAACCGUGUACGUACAAGCAGUGGGAGCCUCUUUAUGGGGUGACUGCGUACCUUUUGUAUAAUGGGUCAGCGACUUAUAUUCUGUAGCAAGGUUAACCGAAUAGGGGAGCCGAAGGGAAACCGAGUCUUAACUGGGCGUUAAGUUGCAGGGUAUAGACCCGAAACCCGGUGAUCUAGCCAUGGGCAGGUUGAAGGUUGGGUAACACUAACUGGAGGACCGAACCGACUAAUGUUGAAAAAUUAGCGGAUGACUUGUGGCUGGGGGUGAAAGGCCAAUCAAACCGGGAGAUAGCUGGUUCUCCCCGAAAGCUAUUUAGGUAGCGCCUCGUGAAUUCAUCUCCGGGGGUAGAGCACUGUUUCGGCAAGGGGGUCAUCCCGACUUACCAACCCGAUGCAAACUGCGAAUACCGGAGAAUGUUAUCACGGGAGACACACGGCGGGUGCUAACGUCCGUCGUGAAGAGGGAAACAACCCAGACCGCCAGCUAAGGUCCCAAAGUCAUGGUUAAGUGGGAAACGAUGUGGGAAGGCCCAGACAGCCAGGAUGUUGGCUUAGAAGCAGCCAUCAUUUAAAGAAAGCGUAAUAGCUCACUGGUCGAGUCGGCCUGCGCGGAAGAUGUAACGGGGCUAAACCAUGCACCGAAGCUGCGGCAGCGACACUAUGUGUUGUUGGGUAGGGGAGCGUUCUGUAAGCCUGUGAAGGUGGCCUGUGAGGGUUGCUGGAGGUAUCAGAAGUGCGAAUGCUGACAUAAGUAACGAUAAAGCGGGUGAAAAGCCCGCUCGCCGGAAGACCAAGGGUUCCUGUCCAACGUUAAUCGGGGCAGGGUGAGUCGACCCCUAAGGCGAGGCCGAAAGGCGUAGUCGAUGGGAAACAGGUUAAUAUUCCUGUACUUGGUGUUACUGCGAAGGGGGGACGGAGAAGGCUAUGUUGGCCGGGCGACGGUUGUCCCGGUUUAAGCGUGUAGGCUGGUUUUCCAGGCAAAUCCGGAAAACCAAGGCUGAGGCGUGAUGACGAGGCACUACGGUGCUGAAGCGACAAAUGCCCUGCUUCCAGGAAAAGCCUCUAAGCAUCAGGUAACAUCAAAUCGUACCCCAAACCGACACAGGUGGUCAGGUAGAGAAUACCAAGGCGCUUGAGAGAACUCGGGUGAAGGAACUAGGCAAAAUGGUGCCGUAACUUCGGGAGAAGGCACGCUGAUAUGUAGGUGAAGCGACUUGCUCGUGGAGCUGAAAUCAGUCGAAGAUACCAGCUGGCUGCAACUGUUUAUUAAAAACACAGCACUGUGCAAACACGAAAGUGGACGUAUACGGUGUGACGCCUGCCCGGUGCCGGAAGGUUAAUUGAUGGGGUUAGCGGUAACGCGAAGCUCUUGAUCGAAGCCCCGGUAAACGGCGGCCGUAACUAUAACGGUCCUAAGGUAGCGAAAUUCCUUGUCGGGUAAGUUCCGACCUGCACGAAUGGCGUAAUGAUGGCCAGGCUGUCUCCACCCGAGACUCAGUGAAAUUGAACUCGCUGUGAAGAUGCAGUGUACCCGCGGCAAGACGGAAAGACCCCGUGAACCUUUACUAUAGCUUGACACUGAACAUUGAGCCUUGAUGUGUAGGAUAGGUGGGAGGCUUUGAAGUGUGGACGCCAGUCUGCAUGGAGCCGACCUUGAAAUACCACCCUUUAAUGUUUGAUGUUCUAACGUUGGCCCGUAAUCCGGGUUGCGGACAGUGUCUGGUGGGUAGUUUGACUGGGGCGGUCUCCUCCUAAAGAGUAACGGAGGAGCACGAAGGUUGGCUAAUCCUGGUCGGACAUCAGGAGGUUAGUGCAAUGGCAUAAGCCAGCUUGACUGCGAGCGUGACGGCGCGAGCAGGUGCGAAAGCAGGUCAUAGUGAUCCGGUGGUUCUGAAUGGAAGGGCCAUCGCUCAACGGAUAAAAGGUACUCCGGGGAUAACAGGCUGAUACCGCCCAAGAGUUCAUAUCGACGGCGGUGUUUGGCACCUCGAUGUCGGCUCAUCACAUCCUGGGGCUGAAGUAGGUCCCAAGGGUAUGGCUGUUCGCCAUUUAAAGUGGUACGCGAGCUGGGUUUAGAACGUCGUGAGACAGUUCGGUCCCUAUCUGCCGUGGGCGCUGGAGAACUGAGGGGGGCUGCUCCUAGUACGAGAGGACCGGAGUGGACGCAUCACUGGUGUUCGGGUUGUCAUGCCAAUGGCACUGCCCGGUAGCUAAAUGCGGAAGAGAUAAGUGCUGAAAGCAUCUAAGCACGAAACUUGCCCCGAGAUGAGUUCUCCCUGAGACUUAGAGUCUCCUGAAGGAACGUUGAAGACGACGACGUUGAUAGGCCGGGUGUGUAAGCGCAGCGAUGCGUUGAGCUAACCGGUACUAAUGAACCGUGAGGCUUAACCUU